rnacentral:rRNA from 1 species
UACCAGCACCCCGAGUGGUCGGGACGAUUAUUGGGCCUAAAGCAUCCGUAGCCGGUUUUACAAGUCCUCCGUUAAAUCCAGCUGCUUAACAGGUGGGCUGCGGAGGAUACUAUAAGACUAGGAGGCAGGAGAGGCAAGCGGUACUCAGUGGGUAGGGGUAAAAUCCGUUGAUCCAUUGAAGACCACCAGUGGCGAAGGCGGCUUGCCAGAAUGCGCUCGACGGUGAGGGAUGAAAGCUGGGGGAGCAAACCGG